rnacentral:rRNA from 1 species
GAUGAACGCUAGCGGCAGGCCUAACACAUGCAAGUCGAGGGGCAGCACGAUAAAGCUUGCUUUAUUGGUGGCGACCGGCGCACGGGUGCGUAACGCGUAUGCAACCUACCUUAUACUGGGGUAUAGCCCGGAGAAAUUCGGAUUAAUCCCCCAUAGUAUUGUCGAUUCGCAUGUUUUGACAAUUAAAGGUUACGGUAUAAGAUGGGCAUGCGUCCCAUUAGCUAGAUGGUGAGGUAACGGCUCACCAUGGCGACGAUGGGUUGGGGGCCUGAGAGGGUGGUCCCCCACACUGGUACUGAGACACGGACCAGACUCCUACGGGAGGCAGCAGUGAGGAAUAUUGGUCAAUGGGCGCAAGCCUGUACCAGCCAUGCCGCGUGCAGGAAGACGGUCCUAUGGAUUGUAAACUGCUUUUAUUUGGGAAUAAACUCUCGGACGUGUCCGAGCCUGAAGGUACCAAAUGAAUAAGCACCGGCUAACUCCGUGCCAGCCGCCGCCGUAAAAC